CAUAACACUCUGGGCGGCAUCGUCCGGAGUUGAAACUUACGAGGGUGACGGAUUGGCUCGCGAGACAUUAGCUAGUCGGCGGGGUAACGGCCCACCGAGGCAACGAUGUCUAGGGGUUCUGAGAGGAAGGUCCCCCACACUGGAACUGAGACACGGUCCAGACUCCUACGGGAGGCAGCAGUGAGGAAUAUUGGACAAUGGCCGGAAGGCUGAUCCAGCCAUGCCGCGUGAAGGAUGAAGGUCCUAUGGAUUGUAAACUUCUUUUGUACGGGAGCAAUAAGGGCGUCGUGACGUCCGAUGAGAGUACCGUACGAAUAAGCAUCGGCUAACUCCGUGCCAGCAGCCGCGGUAAUACGGAGGAUGCGAGCGUUAUCCGGAUUCAUUGGGUUUAAAGGGUGCGUAGGCGGCUGUUCAAGUCAGCGGUGAAAUGCAAGGGCCUAACCCUUGACGUGCCGUUGAAACUGAGUGGCUAGAAUGCGGAUGCUGUGGGAGGAAUGUGUAGUGUAGCGGUGAAAUGCAUAGAUAUUACACAGAACACCGAUUGCGAAGGCAUCUCACAAAUCCGCUAUUGACGCUGAGGCACGAAAGUGCGGGGAUCAAACAGGAUUAGAUACCCUGGUAGUCCGCACAGUAAACGAUGAUAACUCGCUGUCGGCGAUAGACAGUCGGUGGCCAAGCGAAAGCGAUAAGUUAUCCACCU
rnacentral:rRNA from 1 species